rnacentral:rRNA from 1 species
GACGAACGCUGGCGGCGUGCUUAACACAUGCAAGUCGAACGGAAAGGCCUGCUUUCCCUUGGGGAUUGCGGGUACUCGAGUGGCGAACGGGUGAGUAACACGUGAGUUAUCUGCCCCCAACUUAGGUAUAAGCCUGGGAAACUUGGUCUAAUUCCCGAUAGUACUGCAGGGUGGUGCCUGUUGUUGAAUACGAUGUUCUAGUGGUUGAGGAUGAGCUCGCGGCCUAUCAGCUUGUUGGUGGGGUAAUGGCCCACCAAGGCGGCGACCGGUAGCCGUAACGAGAGGGUGGGCGGACAAAUUGAGAAUGGGAGACCGGACAGACUACUGCGGGAGGCAGCAGGGGGGAAUAACAGACCAUGGGAGGAAGGCUGAGGCAGCGAAGCAGCGUGGGGGAAGACGGACUGAGGGUUGUAAACUACUAUCGAACGAGAGGAAGCAGCGUGGUUGGAAGGGUGGUGACGGUAGUGGGAGAAGAAGCCCCGGCUAAGUACGUG